rnacentral:rRNA from 1 species
CCGCGAUUACUAGCAAUUCCGACUUCAUGCAGGCGAGUUGCAGCCUGCAAUCCGAACUGAGACCGGCUUUUCUAGGAUUGGCUCCACCUCGCGGCUUCGCUUCCCGUUGUACCGGCCAUUGUAGUACGUGUGUAGCCCAGGUCAUAAGGGGCAUGAUGAUUUGACGUCAUCCCCACCUUCCUCCGGUUUGUCACCGGCAGUCUGCUUAAAGUGCCCAGCUUGACCUGCUGGCAACUAAGCAUAAGGGUUGCGCUCGUUGCGGGACUUAACCCAACAUCUCACGACACGAGCUGACGACAACCAUGCACCACCUGUCUCCUCUGUCCCGAAGGAAAGACCUAUCUCUAGACCGGUCAAAGGGAUGUCAAGACCUGGUAAGGUUCUUCGCGUUGCUUCGAAUUAAACCACAUACUCCACUGCUUGUGCGGGUCCCCGUCAAUUCCUUUGAGUUUCAGUCUUGCGACCGUACUCCCCAGGCGGAAUGCUUAAUGUGUUAACUUCGGCACC